AGAGUUUGAUCCUGGCUCAGAGUGAACGCUGGCGGCGUGGAUUAGGCAUGCAAGUCGAGCGAUCUUAAAGUUGAAUUUGCGUUGAACCGCAAGGGGAUAUGCAGAGGAUGCUUUUUGAUAGCGGCAAACGGGUGAGUAACACGUGAGUAAUCUGCCCUUAAGUUAAGCAUAGCUUCGUGAAAACGGAGAUAAUUCUUAAUAGUAUCCCAUUUUUGCAUGAAGAAGGGAUUAAAGACAGGGACCGCAAGGCCUGUCGCUUAAGGAUGAGCUCGCGUCCUAUCAGCUUGUUGGUGGGGUAAUGGCCUACCAAGGCAUUUGACGGGUAGCUGGUCUGAGAGGAUGGUCAGCCACACUGGGACUGAGACACUGCCCAGACUCCUACGGGAGGCUGCAGUCGAGAAUAUUUAGCAAUGGACGAAAGUCUGACUAUGCGACGCCGCGUGCAGGAUGAAGGUUUUCGGAUCGUAAACUGCUUUUGUUAGGAAAGAAAAUGCUAAGCCUAAUAAGCUUAGAACUGACGGUACCUAACGAAUAAGCCACGGCCAACUCCGUGCCAGCAGCCGCGGUAAUACGGAGGUGGCAAGCGUUACUCGGAAUCAUUGGGUGUAAAGGGCAAGUAGGCGGUUUAAUAAGUGAGGGGUGAAAUCUCCCGGCUCAAUCGGGAAACUGCCUUUCAAACUGUUAAACUUGAGGAUGGUAGAGGAAAGCGGAAUUUCCGGUGUAAGGGUGAAAUCUGUGGAUAUCGGGAAGAACAUCAACGGCGAAGGCAGCUUUCUGGGCCAUCUCUGACGCUGAAUUGCGAAAGCUAGGGGAGCAAACAGAAUUAGAUACUCUGGUAGUCCUAGCUGUAAACGAUGAGCACUAGGUGUCGGGUCUUUUUGAUCCGGUGCCGCAGCUAACGCAUUAAGUGCUCCACCUGAGGACUACGAUCGCAAGAUUAAAACUCAAAGGAAUUGACGGGGACCCGCACAAGCGGUGGAACAUGUGGUUCAAUUCGAUGCUACGCGAAAAACCUCACCAAGGCUUGACAUACAGGAAGUAGUGAACCGAAAGGGGAUCGACCUGUCAAAUCAGGAGCCUGAACAGGUGCUGCAUGGCUGUCGUCAGCUCGUGUCGUGAGAUGUUGGGUUAAGUC
rnacentral:rRNA from 1 species